GCCCGCCAGCGGUGGAACAAUCGCCUCCAAGAAGGCCCAACCCAAGAAGAAUGUCCACAACACCACCCCUGUUUGAACCUCCAUCUGCACCUCCAUCCACACCUCCAUCCGUAUAUCAGUCUGUACCUCCAUCUGCACCUCCAUCCUCACCUCCAUCCGUACAUCAGUCUAUAGCUCCAUCUGCACCUCCACCUGUACCUCUAUCUGCACCUCCAUCCUCACCUCCAUCCGGACAUCGGUCUGUACCUCCAUCCGCACUUCCAUCCGUACAUCAGGCCGUACCUCCAUCUGCACCUUCGCCUUUACAUGGGAAGUUCGGGUGCAGGAAGCGAGGGGGGAGAAAGCGAAGACUGAAGAAGCGCUACUGAGCGGGGAGGAAGGUGGUUGUAAAACACCAACCUUUGGUUUUUUUUUGUAAAUAUGAUUAUUUUUGUAUAUUAUUAUUAUUAUUAUUAUUAUUAUUAUUAUUAUUAUUAUUUCUAUUAUUGUUACUGUUAUUAUUAUUAUAAUUAAAAAACACAUUAUUCUGAAAGA